CUCCUUUGACGUUAGCGGCGGACGGGUGAGUAACACGUGGGUAACCUACCUAUAAGACUGGGAUAACUUCGGGAAACCGGAGCUAAUACCGGAUAAUAUUUCGAACCGCAUGGUUCGAUAGUGAAAGGUGGUUUUGCUAUCACCUAUAGAUGGACCCGCGCCGUAUUAGCUAGUUGGUAAGGUAACGGCUUACCAAGGCGACGAUACGUAGCCGACCUGAGAGGGUGAUCGGCCACACUGGAACUGAGACACGGUCCAGACUCCUACGGGAGGCAGCAGUC
rnacentral:rRNA from 1 species